GUAGUGUAGAGACACUGGUAUGACAUGCAAAUGAGAUAUAGGAGUACAUCAUCACUGAACGUGACCAACUGCGGAGCAUUCUACUAUCGAGAGUAGCUCACGAAGGGUAUGGGUAUAAGUGUCCCUCCGACCUAAGAUCACCAUGGUAACUUGCAAGCAACUCAUUAUACUUUGGUACUAGACUAUCUAAAUUUUUAAUUCAGUGAUGAAAGAUUUUUGGGUGCAGUCAAGUACUUGUCAAAUCG
rnacentral:lncRNA from 1 species